GCCAGGUGCUGUGGUGCAUACCUGUAAUCCCAGUGGCUGGGGAGGCUGAGGCAGGAGGAUUGCAAAUUCAAAGCCAGCCUCAGCAAAAGUGAUGCACUAAGCAACUCAGUGAGACCCUGUCUCUA
rnacentral:sRNA from 1 species